AUGGUGGGAAUGAGGAAAGAUCCUAGAGUUGGCGGCGGUGUCGGUGGAACUAGCGCAGUUAACCAGUACCCAACCCAACACUCACCAAGAUAAACAGAUGACAUGAGGUGGUCUUAUUUUUGGAAGCUUAGGAGCUUUAUGUUUUGGUUUCAAUUAUUAGCACUAUUUUGUACAUGAGUGCUUAUUGGAUUACUUGGAAUAUUUUGUAACUAUGGAUAUAUAACUUAUCUGAUUUAUUGUAACUCUGCAUAUUCGUAUCUAUGGGUAUUUU